AAAGGUGCUGCUAAUGAGCAGACGCUCAAUCGGGAUGAAGAUCAGCAGCAAGUGUACUCCUCUCUUCUUCAUGGUGAUCGUUGUGUCUAUGAGACAGUCAGAAGGUGUGAAAACACUGAAAAUGGUCCAGCAGAAGGUGAUUACAACAAUGUCACAUCU